CCUCCCCAGCUAGCGGUUAGUUUUCCCGACGCUGCCCCACCGGCCUGCUCGUGAUCUGUUCGCCCUUCCUCCCGGCGAUGACCCCGGGACUGGCACCGCCGGUGAAUCUUUGCGUGCCCCCGCGGUCAAGGCGAUGCCCUCCCGUUCCCGUCGCUGCUCACUCCUCCCAUCGCCGGUUUUCCCGACGCCACUCCGCCGCCCAGCUCACGGUACGUCUGCUGUUCCUCCCAUCGCCGAUCCGGGGACUGGCGCCGCCGGCCAGCUCCUGCAUGUCCCCGCAGCCAAGGCGAUGCCCUCUCUUUCCGACGCGGCUCACUCCUCCCGUUGUUGUUCCAUGAGACCGCUUACUUCUCUGCAUCGGCGGCGACGGCAACAGAAGCGUUGGACGGACAUUAGGGAUCCAAUCUUCUCCGUGACAGCUUGAUAUUCCUCCCGUGUAGAUGCUCCAGCGAGUCAUGUGCCCCAUCGAGCUCCUCGCCCUGCGCAAGUUGCUCCUUGAUCUACCUCACCCUGAAUCCCCAAGGUGCGCAGAUCGAUCCAAGUAUGCCCUGCGAGCAUGUUUUCCAUUCUAAUUUCCUCUUUGCGAGCAGAUAAAGAUUCUUGGAGAGGAGGAUCUUAACUAGUUCUAGUUUAUUUGGACCAUGGCGGAUGUGAUUUCUGGAUGGAUAUUGGUUGAGAUUUUUUUUUCAAUCUACUGCUGUUUUACUCCCCGCUUGGUGCGAUGGUGCCACCGCUGCCUGCUGGGAUGACUGGACCUACCCUGGUGCCAACGACUAUUCGACAAUAUGCUGAAUGCCAAGACCUCCUUGCGAAAUUGUCAGUUUAAGCUGGGCAAGCACUUAUCACGCUGCAGCUAGCAGUGCACCGGAUGAAUUUUGCACAUGGACAUGAAGUGCAUCAAGCCUACCCCAACUUGCUUGGGAAAAAAGGCUAUAUUGUUGUUGUUGUACAUGAAGUGCAUCAGAGAAGGUAAGGUACCUUCCACCAAUUGCAAGUGCCUGCAUUAUCUUACUAAGGUUCAUUAAUAUUUGUUAGACUUUGUAUGAUUACAGAAUCCCUGUUAUGCCAUAUCACGAGCUCCCUAACUAAUUGACCGUAAAUAAGGUGGUAUAGUAUAGAUAAAAGAACAUGCUGUCUCUGUUAUUUCAGCUGGCCUGAUAUUAUCGAUUAGUUCAGAUAAAGUCCCUUGCUAAUGAUGACAUCCUGAUAAAUUUCCUUUUCCUAACACAAUUGACACAAAGGUUAGUGCAUAUUGACUUGCUGACUGCAGUCUUAAUUGAACCUGUCCACCUGGAUUAUCGAUAAUCAGUUCAUCCUGAGUCUGAGAUUCACAUAGACUUCUCUGCAAUUCUGCAGUUCAUUGAUGAGGUGACCUGUGGUUCUGAGCUUAGCCGCGAGCUAGAUGUCAUGUAUAGCAGAUUACAAAGUUUUGAUUGGAUGUACGGGUACCAUAGGGUGUCCUGGUGCUGUUUCUUGUGGCGACGAGCCGACGAGCUGCCAUAUACUCGUUUAGCACAUCUCUUUGCAAUACCAACGGAUGUUUCACCUGAUACUGAAUUUUUCUUUAGGGAAACUAUUCAACUGAAACUGAUUAGGAUUUGCCAUUUUUGGUUUAUUAUCCCAUCAUGUGUAGACCAAUGUUAGAUCAUAGAUUUACACAUCAUCAACAACAUCCACUAGUGAAACUGUAUCCAAAAGAACUUAAAAAUGAGAAAUGUUAAUACAAACAUAUUGUUGAAAUGGAAAAAGUAUAUGGCUACUGUUGUGCAGAACUUUAACCUUUUCAUUUUGCUGCAACAUCCAUAACUUAUCCAGGAGGUCUAUAACCGCUACUUUGGAGCGGAGUUUGCCAAAAUCUUUGUGAUUAUAUGUCUGCAUGAAGGAAAAAUAAAUAUAUACAUCAGUGCAGAAAGUAGAACUUUCUAUUCAUUGGCAACUUGGCAUUUCAUAUGUUCAUAAAACGUGGACAUGAUGAUUGGUUGUAGCAUCAAGUAUCAUUCAGUUUGGAAUUUUACUUAUAGAUAUACAGUCUUCGCAAAGAUAACCAAAUAUUACAUAGUGUAAUGUUCAACACAGAGCAAUUUAUUAAUUAUUUAAACAUUUUAUAGGAUUCUGAUAACAGGACAGAAAAAAUGAAAGUGAACAGAGAAAUGUGCAUGCUCUGGCUCUGAUAAUAACCCAGACGGUCAAUUAUAUUCAAUCCUUUCUUGUGAGGUAGUGGAGUCAACCAUCAAUUCAUUAAAUUUUAUGUAUACGAAAUUGAUUAUUAAAUGGCUAGGUAGCCACACAGUGGUAACCAACAUGGAGGAUUGGCUGUGGUUGCAUGAGAGGUAGCGCUAUCCUUUCUCCGACCAAAAUUUCCACAGUUUGGAACAAUCAAUUUAGGCACCUGAUCUGAUUUCGGCCUCUGAAGUGCCACUGUAACUUUAUUAACCAUUCCAGCAUGAACCUCGAGAUUUGAAUAUCCAGGUUACCACUAAUACAUUUACUUGAGCACAAAGUUGUAAUAAGAUGUCUACAAAUACCUGUCCCCAAGGGAGGGGGGAUGAAACUUAGAGGUUUCUCCUAUUGCUCACAAAACUUAUUGGUUGAUAUAUUUUCUAUGCUUUGUACCAGAGUAGUUGUAUUUUGUUCCUUUUUACUGUUUGUGAUGCCUUUAUUACUGAAUCAA